AAAUCGAAACAAAAUAUUCUUUCACACAAAUCCAUUUUGGGGGCACUUACAUUAAUAUGAUCUACUCAUGACACAAUGGAUCUUUCAGUGAUUUACGACAACUUUAAGAUACAGGCUUUAUGAAUAUUCACAUUGCAUCUGACUAUGUCUCGCCUGACAUGUCUAUAAUCCCUGUCGCCAUUUUGUCAUUACCUAUCGCAUUACCAUUUUUCGCAAAGAAAUUGCCCAUUAUUUCCUUCAUUCUGUGAAGAACCUUAUUUUUCUUUCUACAUAAUACAUCACCCUUAAUUGUCCCUUUCAUCAAGGCCUAAAUUGCAUAACGGAUCGAUUGGUUCAAUUUUGAAAGGGGGGGGGGGUCUGGAAGACCUAAAUAUAGGGGAGGGGAAAAGAUAAUUCAGUCACAGUUAUUCUAGUCAGACACAACUCUGUUCUAGUAAAAUACGACUAGAAAUUAGUCAGAUAGUACCAGAACAGUUGCACCGAGCUGACCCGAUUAACUAGUCAUUUUUGACUGAUUUGUUUUUGAGAGCACAUCAAACAACUGAAAUAAGAAACAUAACGCUUUCUGCUGAUCCCUUUCUUCCCUUUUUAGGCCAUAAAAGCCCUUCAUUAAUACCUAUAGUUUCAAAGUUUCAAACAUUUAAAUCAUUCUUGAUCGAUGUACCGAAUCGUGCUCGCUUAAAGUAAUAAAACUAAACGAGUAUGACUGCUUGUUUUUUUUUUCUUUACCCACGCACACAAAAAACAUGUUUCAAAGAGAAAAUAAGAAUUUCUCCAUCUCGUGAGCUCAAUUGUCAUAGACAUUUAAAACUUUAUUACGUGUCAGAUGAGGAAAGAAAAAAAUAAUUUUCUAGGCAAUUAAACUAAUUGUUGCAUUCAGACAUGCAUCUCUCCUAGCGUGCAUUUCACAGCACCACCUCCAAGAUAAAAUAGGAAAUACGCAAUGAAGUUUCCUUAAUUCGUUUCAA